rnacentral:rRNA from 1 species
CCGACGGUGAGAGGCGAAAGCUGGGGGAGCAAACCGGAUUAGAUACCCGGGUAGUCCCAGCUGUAAACGAUGCGCGUUAGGUGUGUCAGUGACCACGUGUCACUGAUGUGCCGAAGGGAAACCGUGAAACGCGCCGCCUGGGGAGUACGAUCGCAAGGCUGAAACUUAAAGGAAUUGGCGGGGAGCACCACGACGGGUGGAGCCUGCGGUUUAAUCGGACUCAACGCCGGAAAUCUCACCGGAUAAG